rnacentral:rRNA from 1 species
GGACAUGGGGGCACCUGUAUCCUAUCAAUGCCGCGUGAGUGAAGAAGGCCUUCGGGUUGUAAAGCUCUUUUGUCAGGGAAGAAACAGCAGCUCUAACACAGUCUGCGAAUGACGGUACCUGAAGAAUAAGCACCGGCUAACUACGUGCCAGCAGCCGCGGUAAUACGUAGGGUGCGAGCGUUAAUCGGAAUUACUGGGCGUAAAGCGUGCGCAGGCGGUUAUACAAGACAGGCGUGAAAUCCCCGGGCUUAACCUGGGAAUGGCGUCUGUGACUGUAUAGCUAGAGUGUGUCAGAGGGGGGUGGAAUUCCACGUGUAGCAGUGAAAUGCGUAGAUAUGUGGAGGAACACCAAUGGCGAAGGCAGCCCCCUGGGAUAACACUGACGCUCAUGCACGAAAGCGUGGGGAGCAAACAGGAUUAGAUACCCUGGUAGUCCACGCCCUAAACGAUGCUGACUAGUUGUUGGGAAUCUACAUUCUCAGUAACGUAGCUAACGCGUGAAGUCAGCCGCCUGGGGAGUACGGUCGCAAGAUUAAAACUCAAAGGAAUUGACGGGGACCCGCACAAGCGGUGGAUGAUGUGGAUUAAUUCGAUGCAACGCGAAAAACCUUUACUACCCUUGACAUGUCACUAACGAAGUAGAGAUA